rnacentral:tRNA from 1 species
UUCACAGAAGUAUAACGUACAUUUACCUUCCAAGUAGAAAGGCUCGCACAGAGAUGUGCCUUUAAUA